rnacentral:rRNA from 1 species
GAUGAACGCUAGCGGGAGGCCUAACACAUGCAAGCCGAGCGGAAGAGCCUCUUCGGGAACUUGAGAGCGGCGUACGGGUGCGAAACACGUAUGCAACCUACCUUUAGUUGGGGGAUAGCCUUUCGAAAGGAAGAUUAAUACCCCAUAUUCUAUUGAAAGGCAACAUACAAUAUUGAAACCUCUGGUCGACAGCGUUGGGCACGCGCAAGAUUAGCUAGUUGGUGAGGUAACGACUCACCAAGUCUGUGAUCUUUAGGGGUCCUGAGAGGGAGAUCCCCCACACUGGUACUGAGACACGGACCAGACUCCUACGAGAGGCAGCAGUGAGGAAUAUUGGACAAUGGGUGAGAGCCUGAUCCAGCGAUCCCGCGUGAAGGAUGACGGUCCUAUGGAUUGUAAACUUCUUUUGUUCAUGAAUAGACCUAUUUACGUGUAAAUAGCUGAAGGUACUGUACGAAUAAGCACCGGCUAACUUCGUGCCAGCCGCCGCCGUAA